GUGCUCACUUCGGCAGCACAUAUACUAAAAUUGGAACGAUACAGAGAAGAUUAGCAUGGCCCCUGCACAAGGAUGACACGCAAACUCGUGAAGAAAUCCCCAUCAUU
rnacentral:snRNA from 1 species